AUUGAACGCUGGCGGCAUGCUUUACACAUGCAAGUCGAACGGCAGCGCGGGCUUCGGCCUGGCGGCGAGUGGCGAACGGGUGAGUAAUACAUCGGAACGUGCCCAGUAGUGGGGGAUAGCUCGGCGAAAGCCGGAUUAAUACCGCAUACGACCUGAGGGUGAAAGCGGGGAUCCUCCGGACCUCGGGUUAUUGUGCCUGCGGAUGCCGGUUUAGCUGUUGGGUGGGGUAAAGCCUUCCCAAGGCGACGAUUGGUAGCUGGUCUGAGGGGAGGACGAGCCACACUGGGACUGAGACACGGCCCAGACUCCUACGGGAGGCAGCAGUGGGGAAUUUUGGACAAUGGGCGAAAGCCUGAUCCAGCAAUGCCGCGUGUGUGAUGAAGGCCUUCGGGUUGUAAGGCACUUUUGGCGGGAACGAAAAGGAAUGUGCCAAUACCACGGUUCGAUGACGGUACCCGCAGAAUAAGCACCGGCUAACUACGUG
rnacentral:rRNA from 1 species